rnacentral:rRNA from 1 species
AAGUAAAAGUCGUAACAAGGUUUCCGUAGGUGAACCUGCGGAAGGAUCAUUAUCGAGUUUUGACUGGGUUGUAGCUGGCCUUCCGAGGCAUGUGCACGCCCUGCUCAUCCACUCUACACCUGUGCACUUACUGUGGGCUUCAGAUCGUAAAACGGGUCCCUUUACCGGGCUUGCGGAGCGUGUCUGUGCCUGCGUUUAUCACAAACUCUAUAAAGUAUCAGAAUGUGUAUUGCGAUGUAACGCAUCUAUAUACAACUUUCAGCAACGGAUCUCUUGGCUCUCGCAUCGAUGAAGAACGCAGCGAAAUGCGAUAAGUAAUGUGAAUUGCAGAAUUCAGUGAAUCAUCGAAUCUUUGAACGCACCUUGCGCUCCUUGGUAUUCCGAGGAGCAUGCCUGUUUGAGUGUCAUGAAAUCUUCAACCUGCAAGCUUUUGUGGUUUGUAGGCUUGGACUUGGAGGCUUGUCGGCCGUUCUUGGUCGGCUCCUCUUAAAUGCAUUAGCUUGGUUCCUUGCGGAUCGGCUCUCAGUGUGAUAAUGUCUACGCUGCGACCGUGAAGCGUUUGGCGAGCUUCUAACCGUCUCAGUUGGAGACAACUUUAUGACCUCUGACCUCAAAUCAGGUAGGACUACCCGCUGAACUUAAG